rnacentral:rRNA from 1 species
UUCCUUAGAUCGUACCUACUACAUGGAUAACUGUAGUAAUUCUAGAGCUAAUACAUGCCACUAUGCCCUGACCCGCAAGGGAACGGGUGGAUUUAUUAGAACAGAACCAACCGGUUGUGGCUUCGGCUGCUUCCGUUGCACUCUGUGAUGACUCUGGAUAACUUCACUGAUCGCAGUCGGCCUUGUGUCGGCGACGGAUCUUUCAAAUGUCUGCCCUAUCAAUUUUCGAUGGUAGGUGAUCUGCCUACCAUGGUGAUAACGGGUAACGGGGAAUCAGGGUUCGAUUCCGGAGAGGGAGCCUGAGAAACGGCUACCACUUCCAAGGAAGGCAGCAGGCACGCAAAUUACCCAAUCCCGGCACGGGGAGGUAGUGACGAAAAAUACGGAUACGGGACUCGAGAGAGGCUCCGUAAUUCGAAUGAGUACAAUUUAAAUCCUUUAACGAGGAUCAACUGGAGGGCAAGUCUGGUGCCAGCAGCCGCGGUAACUCCAGCUCCAGAAGCGUAUAUUAAAGUUGUUGCAGUUAAAAAGCUCGUAGUUGGAUCUGGGUCGUAUGGCUACGUGCCGUCGCUCGUAUUCUUGGCUCGGUUACGAUCGGGUCAAGUUUGUGGGUCGGUGUCGUGGCUGUGCAGCCUUUCUGCCGUGUCUGUUUCGACAGGUGCCGGCUAAAUCGGUGGGCUUGUCCCGUCGGUUGGUUGGCAUGCUUCCAGAUGCCUUUAAACGGGUGUCGGGGGCGGACGG